CUUUGGGAUAACCCUCGGAAACGGGGGCUAAUACCGAAUACGACCUUCUGCCGCAUGGUGGGGGGUGGAAAGUUUUUCGGUCUGGGAUGGGCCCGCGGCCUAUCAGCUUGUUGGUGGGGUGAUGGCCUACCAAGGCGACGACGGGUAGCCGGCCUGAGAGGGCGACCGGCCACACUGGGACUGAGACACGGCCCAGACUCCUACGGGAGGCAGCAGUGGGGAAUAUUGCACAAUGGGCGGAAGCCUGAUGCAGCGACGCCGCGUGAGGGAUGACGGCCUUCGGGUUGUAAACCCCUUUCAGCAGGGACGAAGCGCAAGUGACGGUACCUGCAGAAGAAGCGCCGGCCAACUACGUGCCAGCAGCCGCGGUAAGACGUAGGGCGCGAGCGUUGUCCGGAUUUAUUGGGCGUAAAGAGCUCGUAGGCGGCUUGUCGCGUCGACCGUGAAAACUUGGGGCUCAACCCCAAGCCUGCGGUCGAUACGGGCAGGCUAGAGUUCGGUAGGGGAGACUGGAAUUCCUGGUGUAGCGGUGAAGUGCGCAGAUAUCAGGAGGAACACCGGUGGCGAAGGCGGGUCUCUGGGCCGAUACCGACGCUGAGGAGCGAAAGCGUGGGGAGCGAACAGGAUUAGAUACCCUGGUAGUCCACGCUGUAAACGUUGGGCGC
rnacentral:rRNA from 1 species